GAUGAACGCUGGCGGCGUGCUUAACACAUGCAAGUCGAACGGGGUUAUUUUUGGAGUGGAAUAGUUUACUAUGAAGCGAAGGGAAUAACUUAGUGGCGGACGGGUGAGUAACGCGUGAGGACCUGUCCUUUGCAGGGGGACAACAGCUGGAAACGGCUGCUAAUACCGCAUAUGCCUGUAAGGGUGAAAUGGAUUUAUUCCGGCAGGGGAGGGACUCGCGUCCUAUCAGCUAGUAGGUUGGGUAACGGCCGACCUAGGCGAAGACGGGUAGCCGGCCUGAGAGGGCGCACGGCCACACUGGGACUGAGAUACGGCCCAGACUCCUACGGGAGGCAGCAGUGGGGAAUAUUGGGCAAUGGGGGGAACCCUGACCCAGCGACGCCGCGUGAGUGAUGAAGUCUUUCGGGACGUAAAGCUCUUUUGUACGGGAAGAAGGGCGUGACGGUACCGUACGAAUAAGCCCCGGCAAACUACGUGCCAGCCGCCGCAGUAAGAC
rnacentral:rRNA from 1 species